rnacentral:rRNA from 1 species
CUACGGGAGGCUCCAGUUAGGAAUAAUCUACAAUGCGCGCAAGCGUGAUAGUUUGAGCCAGAGUGCUUUCCAUUCGGAAAGCUUUUGCUGAAUGUAAAAAGUUCGGCGAAUAAGGACUGGGUAAGACUAGUGCCAGACCGCCGCGGUAAUACUAGCGGUCCAAGUCGCAGCCAUUUUUAUUGGGUCUAAAACAUCCGUAGCUUGCUAAAUAAGUUUCUUGUGAAAUCUCAUAUCUUAAAUAUGAGGCGGGCAGGAAAUACUAUUUAGCUAGAGACUGGAAGACGUAAGAAGUACGUUUGAAGUAAUGGUAAAAUAUGUUAAUCUCAGACGGACUUACAAGAGCGAAGGCAUCUUACGAGGACAGUUCUGACAGUAAGGGAUGAAAGCCAGGGGCGCAAAACGGAUUAGAUACCCCUGUAGUC